rnacentral:rRNA from 1 species
CGGGUGAGUAACACGUGAGCAACCUGCCCUGGACUCUGGGAUAAGCGCUGGAAACGGCGUCUAAUACUGGAUAUGAGACGUGAUCGCAUGGUCGUGUUUGGAAAGAUUUUUCGGUCUGGGAUGGGCUCGCGGCCUAUCAGCUUGUUGGUGAGGUAAUGGCUCACCAAGGCGUCGACGGGUAGCCGGCCUGAGAGGGUGACCGGCCACACUGGGACUGAGACACGGCCCAGACUCCUACGGGAGGCAGCAGUGGGGAAUAUUGCACAAUGGGCGGAAGCCUGAUGCAGCAACGCCGCGUGAGGGAUGACGGCCUUCGGGUUGUAAACCUCUUUUAGCAGGGAAGAAGCGUAAGUGACGGUACCUGCAGAAAAAGCGCCGGCUAACUACGUGCCAGCAGCCGCGGUAAUACGUAGGGCGCAAGCGUUAUCCGGAAUUAUUGGGCGUAAAGAGCUCGUAGGCGGUUUGUCGCGUCUGCUGUGAAAUCCCGAGGCUCAACCUCGGGCCUGCAGUGGGUACGGGCAGACUAGAGUGCGGUAGGGGAGAUUGGAAUUCCUGGUGUAGCGGUGGAAUGCGCAGAUAUCAGGAGGAACACCGAUGGCGAAGGCAGAUCUCUGGGCCGUAACUGACGCUGAGGAGCGAAAGGGUGGGGAGCAAACAGGCUUAGAUACCCUGGUAGUCCACCCCGUAAACGUUGGGAACUAGUUGUGGGGACCAUUCCACGGUUUCCGUGACGCAGCUAACGCAUUAAGUUCCCCGCCUGGGGAGUACGGCCGCAAGGCUAAAACUCAAAGGAAUUGACGGGGACCCGCACAAGCGGCGGAGCAUGCGGAUUAAUUCGAUGCAACGCGAAGAACCUUACCAAGGCUUGACAUAUACGAGAACGGGCCAGAAAUGGUCAACUCUUUGGACACUCGUAAACAGGUGGUGCAUGGUUGUCGUCAGCUCGUGUCGUGAGAUGUUGGGUUAAGUCCCGCAACGAGCGCAACCCUCGUUCUAUGUUGCCAGCACGUAAUGGUGGGAACUCAUGGGAUACUGCCGGGGUCAACUCGGAGGAAGGUGGGGAUGACGUCAAAUCAUCAUGCCCCUUAUGUCUUGGGCUUCACGCAUGCUACAAUGGCCGGUACAAAGGGCUGCAAUACCGUGAGGUGGAGCGAAUCCCAAAAAGCCGGUCCCAGUUCGGAUUGAGGUCUGCAACUCGACCUCAUGAAGUCGGAGUCGCUAGUAAUCGCAGAUCAGCAACGCUGCGGUGAAUACGUUCCCGGGUCUUGUACACACCGCCCGUCAAGUCAUGAAAGUCGGU